rnacentral:rRNA from 1 species
CUACGGGGGGCAGCAGUGAGGAAUAUUGCACAAUGGGGGGAACCCUGAUGCAGCAACGCCGCGUGGAGGAUGACGCAUUUCGGUGUGUAAACUCCUUUUAUAUGUCAAGAAAACGACGGUAGCAUAUGAAUAAGCACCGGCUAACUCCGUGCCAGCAGCCGCGGUGAAUACGGAGGGUGCAAGCGUUACUCGGAAUCACUGGGCGUAAAGGACGCGUAGGCGGGUUGGAAAGUCAGGUGUGAAAUCCUACAGCUUAACUGUAGAACUGCACUUGAAACUUCUAAUCUAGAGUAUGGGAGGGGGAGAUGGAAUUAGUGGUGUAGGGGUAAAAUCCGUAGAUAUCACUAGGAAUACCUAAAGCGAAGGCGAUCUCCUGGAACAUUACUGACGCUAAGGCGUGAAAGCGUGGGGAGCAAACAGGAUUAGAUACCCCCGUAGUC